CCUACGGGAGGCAGCAGUGGGGAAUAUUGCACAAUGGGGGAAACCCUGAUGCAGCGACGCCGCGUGAGCGAUGAAGUAUUUCGGUAUGUAAAGCUCUAUCAGUAGGGAAGAAAAUGACGGUACCUGACUAAUAAGCCCCGGCUAACUACGUGCCAGCAGCCGCGGUAAUACGUAGGGGGCAAGCGUUAUCCGGAUGUACUGGGUGUAAAGGGAGCGUAGACGGCGGUGCAAGCCAGAUGUGAAAGCCCGGGGUUCAACCCCGGGAGUGCAUUGGGAACUGUGCUGCUAGAGUGUCGGAGAGGCAGGCGGAAUUCCAAGUGUAGCGGUGAAAUGCGUAGAUAUUAGGAGGAACACCAGUGGCGAAGGCGGCCUGCUGGACGAUGACUGACGUUGAGGCUCGAAAGCGUGGGUAGCAAACAGGAUUAGAUACCCGAGUAGUC
rnacentral:rRNA from 1 species